CGGGGUUAACUCGGAGGAAGGUGGGGAUGACGUCAAAUCAUCAUGCCCCUUAUGUCCAGGGCUUCACACAUGCUACAAUGGUCGGUACAACGCGCUGCGAGCCUGUGAGGGUGAGCGAAUCGCUGAAAGCCGGCCUCAGUUCGGAUUGGGGUCUGCAACUCGACCCCAUGAAGUCGGAGUCGCUAGUAAUCGCAGAUCAGCAACGCUGCGGUGAAUACGUUCCCGGGCCUUGUACACACCGCCCGUCACGUCAUGAAAGUUGGUAACACCCGAAGCCAGUGGCCUAACCCUUGUGGGGGGAGCUGUCGAAGGUGGGAUCGGCGAUUGGGACGAAGUCGUAACAAGGUAGCCGUACCGGAAGGUGCGGCUGGAUCACCUCCUUUCUAAGGAG
rnacentral:rRNA from 1 species